AGAGUUUGAUCCUGGCUCAGGAUGAACGCUGGCGGCGUGCUUAACACAUGCAAGUCGAACGAAGCAUUCUAUAUGAAGUUUUCGGAUGGAUUAUAGAAUGACUUAGUGGCGGACGGGUGAGUAACGCGUGGGUAACCUGCCUUAUACAGGGGGAUAACAGUUGGAAACGACUGCUAAUACCGCAUAAGCGCACAGUAUCGCAUGAUACGGUGUGAAAAGUUUUUCGGUAUAAGAUGGACCCGCGUCUGAUUAGCUAGUUGGUGAGGUAACGGCCCACCAAGGCGACGAUCAGUAGCCGGCUUGAGAGAGUGAACGGCCACAUUGGGACUGAGACACGGCCCAAACUCCUACGGGAGGCAGCAGUGGGGAAUAUUGCACAAUGGGGGAAACCCUGAUGCAGCGACGCCGCGUGAGUGAAGAAGUAUUUCGGUAUGUAAAGCUCUAUCAGCAGGGACGAUAAUGACGGUACCUGACUAAGAAGCCCCGGCUAACUACGUGCCAGCAGCCGCGGUAAUACGUAGGGGGCAAGCGUUAUCCGGAUUUACUGGGUGUAAAGGGAGCGUAGACGGUUUGGUAAGUCAGGUGUGAAAGCCCGGGGCUCAACCCCGGGAUUGCACUUGAAACUAUCAGGCUAGAGUGCAGGAGAGGUAAGUGGAAUUCCUAGUGUAGCGGUGAAAUGCGUAGAUAUUAGGAGGAACACCAGUGGCGAAGGCGGCUUACUGGACUGUAACUGACGUUGAGGCUCGAAAGCGUGNGGAGCAAACAGGAUUAGAUACCCUGGUAGUCCACGCCGU
rnacentral:rRNA from 1 species